AGAUAAAUGAUGUAUAAGAUGUAAAACAAGAGCAGUGGAUUGAGAUCUACAACAAAAAUGUUCAACAAAUGGCCAUUGAAAUGCUAUUAAGAAAUUAAAGAGGCAUGAGAAGUUCUGUAGCCAUUCUUUUGAACCCAUAACUCUAUCUGGCCAAUUAUUAGAAUGAAAGAAUGGUACAUAAAUAGCCGGUCGAAUGCCGAGCAAAUCGGUUAACGCUCAACGCAUCAUUCGUCACCAUACAGGAGGUACAUUUUAAGAACAAUGCAGACUACGCAAAAGUGUUCGUGCAUUUGCAUAACGGAACAGACCAGUUACGCGGCAACACAUUGCUGGAUAUAGAUGCGCUGAUUUUCCAAAACGUUUCUGAUGGAUUAGUUCUACGCAUGGAUCUUAGCUCCAAAGUAGGAGCGGACCAUAUCGUUAUUCUUAACUCCAGUAUCGAUUUGUGCAACUCUAACGAAUCGCAAUCCUUUGAUCAACUAACAUAUUUGAUAGCCCAAGAGAUAGAAAAGUAUGGAAACUUGAGCUUCAGUUGUCCCUUUCACUCAGGCAAUUAUAUGGUUCGAAACUUCCAUAUCGACACGGAGAAUGUGUUGAUCAAGUUUGCCCCACCUGGAGAGUAUCGUAUAGUCAUCGAUAUCAAAUACAAAGCGGAAACAAGUACGAUGGCGAUCCCGAUUUUUGAUAUAGAACUUUAUGCUACCAUAGUUCAGGAUGGUUAAUGGUACACGAAGUGUCGAAGUACGAAGUACGAAGCAAUCACCAUUUUACUACAUAAUAUAUUAACU